ensembl:misc_RNA Y_RNA Y RNA
AUCAUGUUCCAGUGCAGUGGUAUUUACAAUUAAUUAAUCACAACCAGUUACAGAUUUCUUUGAUCCUUUUCUACUCUUACUGCUUCACCUGACUAGACUUGA